rnacentral:lncRNA from 1 species
AAUAAAUAAGAAUUAGAUGAUUGUUAAAUGUAAUGAUUCUAGUUGCAGUGCAGAAAAGGAAGUAUUUUGUGAUAGAUUGUUUUUUAGACAGUUUUCUUUUCUUUAGGAGAGUUGUUAUAGUAUAGUAAAGAAUCAAUUAUCAAUAAUGGCAGUUGGGAGGCAGCAAGUCACCAAGAGAGUUAUUUUCCAUUUUAAAUUUCAGUUUGUGAAUAAGGUUAACCUGCAGUCUUAGAUAACUGCAUUUUUUUCAUAGAUGGCCAGAAUGUUUUCAAUAGAGAUUUUAAAUGGUACGUUUAAAUCAUUGUGAUCAUUCAGAAGCAUUUUUAUUUAGAAAGGAGCUGGCUUAUUAGUAUGCUGUUAAUAUUUUGACAUACAUGUUUCAUACCACUAUCACAAUAAUCAUACUUGAAUUAUUUGGUACUCCUUUACAGAAAUAAAAACUAAAAGAAAAUAGGUAUUUAGAAUCACUAAAAACCAUUUUAAAUUGUGGGUUAAUUCUGAUUCAAGGAAUUUUUAUAGCUGUAAGAUAAAUUUUCACAGGUUAAAUAUUUCAGAGGAAAUGGAAAAUUCUUUUUAAAAUGUCCCCUUUUCCUGGGUUUUAAAUACCUAAGGCAAAAUGUCAAAAAUAGGAUGUCCUACAAUAGCUUAGAAGUUGCUAGCUCUGUGGACCAUUUCCAGGUCUUCUGGCUUGCGUAGUUAAGGAACAGCCUGUUUGAGAAGUUUGGCUUCAAGUUUCUGUUGUAUCCUACUUAAAACAAAAGUACAUGCUCCUUGUAGGCAAAUUCUAGGUUUUUGUCUUUAUAAGUUGUUUUCAAAUAUGGAAACAAUAAGGUUUAAACCUACUAAAGGAAAUGGAAUUAGACUUUUUAGACUAUAAUGAUGCAUGUUGUUAUCAAUGAG